rnacentral:rRNA from 1 species
AUGCACGCUGGCGGCGUGCCUAAUACAUGCAAGUCGAGCGAACAGACGAGGAGCUUGCUCCUCUGACGUUAGCGGCGGACGGGUGAGUAACACGUGGAUAACCUACCUAUAAGACUGGGAUAACUUCGGGAAACCGGAGCUAAUACCGGAUAAUAUAUUGAACCGCAUGGUUCAAUAGUGAAAGACGGUUUUGCUGUCACUUAUAGAUGGAUCCGCGCCUCAUUAGCUAGUUGGUAAGGUAACGGCUUACCAAGGCAACGAUGCGUAGCCGACCUGAGAGGGUGAUCGGCCACACUGGAACUGAGACACGGUCCAGACUCCUACGGGAGGCAGCAGUAGGGAAUCUUCCGCAAUGGGCGAAAGCCUGACGGAGCAACGCCGCGUGAGUGAUGAAGGUCUUCGGAUCGUAAAACUCUGUUAUUAGGGAAGAACAAAUGUGUAAGUAACUAUGCACGUCUUGACGGUACCUAAUCAGAAAGCCACGGCUAACUACGUG